AUGUCCACAUUUUCUUCCAGAGAUAGACAUUCAUCUUUGGUGUGUGUUUCUCUUCACAGGGGAUUGGUCACUGACUUAAUCAGGGCCCUGGGAUUGGUUUCAGGACCAGUGCUGAUGGUGCAGAAUGGGAAUGACUUUCCGUGGUGUUGCUGUGUCAAGGGUCUGAGAUCUCGGCAUAGCCCAGUAAAUAAUUGAGCAUCACUCCACCUAGAGAGAGGAUCAUCUACGUGAAAUGCAGAAGGGAGAAGCACAUCGAUGUCCAUACUGUAAACCUGUGAGCACAUCUUGCUGCCUUCGGCCCCUGUUCUUUACAGGAGUCCACUGCCUCUAGCUAUUCUCUUCAGAGGGUUAAUGCUGGGGAAACAGGGUCUAAAUAUCUGACUGGGGCGCAAUGUGCCUAACACUAAAACUGUGACCUGGAAUGCAAAUCAAAUGGUCUUACUUAAUGAAGAAAUGACAAGGAAUCAGUCGAUUUGGUUUUUUUGGCACAUAGUUCUAAUUAUAUGACUGUUAUUUUAUUUGGAUUAUCUCAUUUUUUCAGGAAGUUGCAUCCUGACCUCAGGAAGCCAAUCUUUGUCUUUCCAACAUCAUUUUAUACAUUUCCAAAGUCUUGACUAGAGAAUAUAUCAGGAAUUUUCCAUUUUAAUCAUAAUUUUGCCUCAACAAUAACAUAAAAAUGUUUUAUUCAUUUUUCUUACACACUAUUUGACUCUUCUGCCCUCUUUAUUUUGUUCUAAUUUGAUUGUGUGUUUGGCUCAGGCUGUGGGGGAACAGUGCAUUAGGAAGAGAGCCAUCACAUUUUGAGGGUCGCCAGCUGGCGAAAGUUUACAUUUGGUGGAUCCUACUUGCAGAAGAGUUGGUGAACUUGUCAUUGGGUCUUUUAUUCUGAAGUAUUGUGUAGUUUUGUGUUACCACAUGCUUAAUUAAAUUAACUGAGUGCUUGCUGUAUGCUGAGUGUCACACGGCGGAGAGCUAAAAAAAAAAUUUCCUGUCACAUCAUCGGUCAGUUUCCU
rnacentral:lncRNA from 1 species